rnacentral:rRNA from 1 species
CCUACGGGAGGCAGCAGUGGGGAAUUUUGGACAAUGGACGCAAGUCUGAUCCAGCCAUUCCGCGUGCAGGAUGAAGGCCCUCGGGUUGUAAACUGCUUUUGUACGGAACGAAAAGGUUUCUCUUAAUACGAGGAAGCUCAUGACGGUACCGUAAGAAUAAGCACCGGCUAACUACGUGCCAGCAGCCGCGGUAAU